CUGUUCUUAAGAAGUGAGUUGUUUUCGUGUGAGUUAUUCAUAGAAACUUGUUAGUAAGUUGUUAUGAAAGGGGAGAUGUUUAUUCUGUCGUUGAAUUAGAUCGUGAAGAAAAGAAAAAGAUGAUUUAGAUAUUGAAUUGAGGUUAGGGUUUCUGGAAUUAGGGUUCUUGUAGAACUGAUGAUGAUAAAGUGACAUUCUUGGAUGAAGAGAAGAGGGGUUGUUGUUGAUUUGAUGAAAUGAAGCUAUUCUGAUGCUGAAUCGAAAUCAGGUGAUUGCGGAAGUAGCAGAAGCGUCGAUUGAAGAUUAUGAGACUGGCAUGCAAGGUUGCAAUGAAGCUGCAAAGAUAUGGAUGCAGGUUAGAUUAUUGUUUUUUGUUGCUUAGAAGUUUAGAUUUAAUUGAGCUUUCAAAAAUCAUGUGUCGUACAUGCUUCCCUGUUCUGCAAGAACCAUGUGCUGCAAUGUUGAACUGCAUGACAUCUUAACCUCAGUUGCACGUGGUUAAGAUGUCAUUUUGUUUGCUUGGGGGAGGUGUUGGAGCCCAAAUAUCAAUAGUUGAGAAAAGUUUAAGGUUUUUUUAUUUUUUUGUAGCAUGCAAGUGAAUGCUGCUUUCGGAUAUCAUUUCUGCCAAUUUUUGUAAUACUACUAUUAUUCUACUGAUUUGUCAUAUUUUUAUGCUACUUUACUUCUAUUAAUCUCUACCUCUGAUUUUGUUAAAUCGCACCUUCAUUUUACUGUCCGGAAAAACAACCAUAUUCUCAGGCUUGAAGGUUCUUCUAAUAGGGGUCUUUACCUCGAGGUACUUUACUCCGUUGAUUAUGAUUCAUUAACAUCGCCAGUCUGUGAAAUUAAAGAUGGUGAUAUUGAAAUGGAUUACCCAGCCACGUGUACAAAGCUUACGUGGCAGAAUAGACGAGUUGGAUAGUGAGGUGGACGAUUUAACUGCUGACAUGGAGGUUAACUAUCCGUUAGCCGUUUUUUCAAAAUAACGGUCAAAACAGGAGUACAUUUGUAAAAGUGAAAAAAACGGGGGUACAUUUGUAUGCGCACAAAAAAAUAGGGGGUUUUGGAAUUUCUGGUGUGGUUCAUAACUUCAUAUGGACCGAUCGUUCGGUCAACAACAAACAACAACAGUCAAGCUGCAAAUGAAGUUGGUUCCUCUAUUCACCCAACAUUUGUACCUGCACCAACUGCUAAUGCUCAACAAGCUACACCAGGGGAUCCAACCGAAGAUACAACUGCUGCUGGUGAUGUAGCCGCGAAGCCGAAAGUCAUUUCAAAAGUUUGGGAAGAUUUUAUAAGGAUAGAUGGAGAAUGGGCACAAUGUAAGCAUUGUACCAAGAAAUUUAAAGCCGGGAGUCAAAAGAACGAUACUUCUAGAUCACGGAAACAUUUGAGGCUUUGCUCUGUUGUCAAAGCUGGUUACAGAACCCAUUGAUCUUGAUCUUCUAGCUGUUUUUUGCUUUGCUUUCUGUUUUUUAUUUAAGUCUUAAACAGUUGAAGUUGUUGACCUUGGAACUUUGAAUAUUUUCUUGCUUUGA